CCCAUAUCAUAAACAUAAAAAAAAAAAAACUAACUAAAGGUCAAAGAAAUAUAAGCUAAAAUCAUGCUUGAAAAUCAAGACCCUCUCGUUUUGAAGUGCAUCCAAGAAUAAAACAAUUUUUAGUUUGAAAAACCUUUAGAUCACCACACGCAAAGCAAAAUAACAAUUCUGCAAAGCUUAAGUCCAAACCAAAAACCAACAGAAACAAAAGAAACUUUCAUGUUUGAGCUCCAAACUAACCCGGUUGCAAAGCAAACCAUAACCCGCCGACUUCUCAUAAAGUGGGAAAAAAAAAAAGAAAGAAAAAAGGAUAAAAAAUGCAACAUGAAACCAUUAAUUAGCCUUCCAACAAGAAUUUUCAAAAGCAGAUUAAUUAAACCCAAGUUCAAAAUAAGAAAGAAAAACCAAUCUAUUUACCUAAUUGGUUUUAAAACAGUUUUCUAUUUUAUAAAAAAUAAAACUAUUUUCAAAACAAAAAUAAAUUUAUUUCACCGUUAGUAAUGGAAAAAAAUAAUUUUAAAAAAUAAAUUAAAAAAAUUAAAAAACAUUAAAAUGAUGCUUUUCACUGUUUUUGAUUAAUGAAAUCCACCCGGUUUUUUCUACACUUUCAGAUCGACUUCUUACACCCGAUAGAACACUGUUCUUCGAUCUGAUCUGCAACCUUCUCAAAUUGCCAUUCCUUCGAUGGAUCUCAAACGCCAUUCAUUGUGCUCAUCUUGGAGUUCAGCUUUUACUUCUCUUUUCUUUCUAUUUUUCUUUACUCCACCGAUCUGGGUCCGAGAGUAUGCUGAAAUGAAACCGAUCUCAGUCUGAGAUUUUGCUAAGAUUUUACUUCACCGAUCUAGGAAGGACGAUAGUUAAAACUCAUUUAUGGAUGAUAAAGAUAGUUCAUCUUCCUCUAGUUCAGAUGAAGAUUUUUAAGACUUUAUGAUGUUUUUUGAUGUAUAUAAGUACACUGAAUGUUUUCGAGAAAAAAUAUCUUAAAGAACUUCAAUGUUGAGUGGUUAAAAUUUUAUACAGAAUGGUUGAAUGGGAAUGAAAAAACAUGCUAUGAUUUGUUUCGAAUGGACAAAAAUAUUUUUCUC